rnacentral:rRNA from 1 species
GACGUAGGGCGCGAGCGUUGUCCGGAUUUAUUGGGCGUAAAGGGCGCGUAGGCGGACAGUUUAGUCAGAGGUGAAAGCCCAGGGCUCAACCUUGGAAUUGCCUUUGAUACUGGCUGUCUUGAGUUCGGGAGAGGUGAGUGGAAUGCCGAGUGUAGAGGUGAAAUUCGUAGAUAUUCGGCGGAACACCAGUGGCGAAGGCGACUCACUGGCCCGAUACUGACGCUGAGGAGCGAAAGCGUGGGGAGCGAACAGG